rnacentral:snoRNA from 1 species
AGGCCGUGAUGGGGACACUUGCGUAAUAGCUCCUUGAACCUUUCCCAAGUUUCAUAUAAGGAUUCCCCGUCCUCUUGUGAGUAUGUAUUAAUUUCAGACAUUAAUUU